rnacentral:tRNA from 1 species
CUUAAUAUAGUUUAAGCUAAAACUUUACUCUUUCAAAGUAAGAAUUUUAAUAUAAAUAUUAAGA